AGCCCUGGACAGAAAACCAAAUGCAAAUUAGGAAGACAUCACAAUCUCAAGAAUCUGCUCUUUUCUGUCUGGUUUCAGUCGGGUUCUUUUCAUUCCAGCCACAAGACUGAAAUAUACUUACUGGUUGCACUCCUAAGAAUCCUAAGCAAGGCCUGUGGUGUACAAAGACAGGUAGCAACUUACAUGAGAAGAGGAGAACAAAACCUAAGCAUGAACUAUAAAAGGACUAACACAGAUGCACUCCUGGGGUCUACAGAAACCGAUCAAUCCUGAAGCAAGACAGGAGUGAAGAGAGCAAAGGUGAGAGGCCCAAAUGCCCUUUGCAUUUAGAAGUCAUGUCAAGAAGAACCCUCGAGGGACCAGCC